rnacentral:rRNA from 1 species
GAGGAGCCCAGAGCCUGAAUCAGUGUGUGUGUUAGUGGAAGCGUCUGGAAAGGCGCGCGAUACAGGGUGACAGCCCCGUACACAAAAAUGCACAUAUUGUGAGCUCGAUGAGUAGGGCGGGACACGUGGUAUCCUGUCUGAAUAUGGGGGGACCAUCCUCCAAGGCUAAAUACUCCUGACUGACCGAUAGUGAACCAGUACCGUGAGGGAAAGGCGAAAAGAACCCCGGCGAGGGGAGUGAAAAAGAACCUGAAACCGUGUACGUACAAGCAGUGGGAGCCUCUUAAUGGGGUGACUGCGUACCUUUUGUAUAAUGGGUCAGCGACUUAUAUUCUGUAGCAAGGUUAACCGAAUAGGGGAGCCGAAGGGAAACCGAGUCUUAACUGGGCGUUAAGUUGCAGGGUAUAGACCCGAAACCCGGUGAUCUAGCCAUGGGCAGGUUGAAGGUUGGGUAACACUAACUGGAGGACCGAACCGACUAAUGUUGAAAAAUUAGCGGAUGACUUGUGGCUGGGGGUGAAAGGCCAAUCAAACCGGGAGAUAGCUGGUUCUCCCCGAAAGCUAUUUAGGUAGCGCCUCGUGAAUUCAUCUCCGGGGGUAGAGCACUGUUUCGGCAAGGGGGUCAUCCCGACUUACCAACCCGAUGCAAACUGCGAAUACCGGAGAAUGUUAUCACGGGAGACACACGGCGGGUGCUAACGUCCGUCGUGAAGAGGGAAACAACCCAGACCGCCAGCUAAGGUCCCAAAGUCAUGGUUAAGUGGGAAACGAUGUGGGAAGGCCCAGACAGCCAGGAUGUUGGCUUAGAAGCAGCCAUCAUUUAAAGAAAGCGUAAUAGCUCACUGGUCGAGUCGGCCUGCGCGGAAGAUGUAACGGGGCUAAACCAUG